GCCAGAAGCCAUAUCACCCUGAAUGGGCCUGAUCUCCGAAGCCAAGCAGGGUUGGGCUUGGUUAAUACUUGGAUAGGAGACAGCAGGAUUUUUUAGAGGCCAGCCU
rnacentral:rRNA from 1 species